rnacentral:rRNA from 1 species
UUAAGGGCCGCGGUAUUUUGACCGUGCAAAGGUAGCAUAAUCAUUAGUUCUUUAAUUGUGAUCUGGUAUGAAUGGUUUGACGAGAUAUAAACUGUCUUAGAGGUAUGGUUUAUUGAAUUUGGUUUUUGAGUUAAAAUUCUUAAAUGUUUUUAUGGGACGAGAAGACCCUAUAGAGUUUGACAUUCUUUUUACUUUUAUGUUGUUUGUUUUAUGUUUAUGGAGUGGGAAUAUUGUUUUGUUGGGGUGAUGGGAGUAAAUAUUAUUUAACUUCUCUUUGUUUUGUGUAUAUUUAUGUAUAUUGGUUUUUGAUCCAUUUAUUUUGAUUAUAAGAUUAAAUUACCUUAGGGAUAACAGCGUUAUCUUCCUUGAGAGUUCUUAUUGGCGGGGGGGUUUGCGACCUCGAUGUUGGAUUAAGAUAAAUUUUCGGUGCAGGAGCUGAAAUUAAUUAGGUCUGUUCGACCUUUAAAAUCUUACGUGAUCUGAGUUCAGACC